GAUGAAGAACGUAGCGAAAUGCGAUAAGUAAUGUGAAUUGCAGAAUUCAGUGAAUCAUCGAAUCUUUGAACGCACAUUGCGCCCGCUAGUAUUCUGGCGGGCAUGCCUGUCCGAGCGUCAUUUCAACCCUCAAGCCCCCGGGCUUGGUGUUGGGGAUCGGCGAGCCUCCGCGCCCGCCGUCCCCUAAAUCUAGUGGCGGUCUCGCUGUAGCUUCCUCUGCGUAGUAGCACACCUCGCACUGGGAAACAGCGCGGCCACGCCGUUAAACCCCCAACUUCUGAACGUUUGACCUCGGAUCAGGUAGGAAUACCCGCUGAACUUAAGCAUAUCAUAACGGAGGA
rnacentral:misc_RNA from 1 species